ensembl:ncRNA T05A6.15 ncRNA
GAUCGGGUGGUGGCGGGGCAGCGAUACUGAUGCGACACGCUGCGUCUCUAUUUCUUCAGCACUCUCUCUGUUCUUGGCAACGUGCCAAACACCAGGGGCGGCGUCGAAACGGAAAAUAUGGGCGGAGCGAAGUAUAGAAGAGACGAGCUGUCUCUCUCGCAUUUUGUUCGUUUUCCGCCCCCUUGUAACUCGCCGAUAUGUUUAUUG